AUCACGACAUCACCUGCUCGCCGCUCCUAGCCUCUCCCGAUCGCGGCUAUGGUCUAGCCAUCGCUCGGACCCCUGCCCACUGCGACACCUCGAUGACUAGCGCCGUCCAUCGUCGGCAAUGGCACCCGGCGGCUGGCGCGGCGGCGCUCUAUCACGAACACGCUAUCGCGGCCUCGCUGGCGCGACACGUCUCUCCGCCUCUUCGUCGCGUGGUCGCGAGGCGCGACACGAGCCCACGGCAGCACGUCGGCACCGUCGCACCGGCCCGUAUUUGCUGGACGGCUGAGCGCUGAAUACACGAUGCAGUUGGGCGGCUGGACGCUGCUGCCUGUUGCUGAACCUAACGCCAGCCAGACUCUCUGAACCAGUGAAGGUGAUUUGGUGAAAACAACCGUGUGCUACUGCCUGCUCCUGUUUGUUUUGCUUUGAAUCGUCAACCUUGUGCUAGCCUGCUAGGUAUUUAUAGUUUGAUUUGAUAAAAUUAUUUUGCUUCUUGUGUCAUAUUAAAAAUCAAUUAGAUCUUUUUAUUUGGUUUAAAUUUUUUUAUAACAUUAGCUUAGUAGCCCCUGUCUUAUAUCAAUCCUGGAUCCGCCACUGACUAAGUAUAAUACUAGGGAUGGAAGUGGAUUGGAAUGGAAUGAAUAAUGGUUUCUUCA